rnacentral:sRNA from 1 species
CGAUUAAGGUUCGACUCGAGCGGAAGCGAGAGAACGUUGCCAACGGCAACGGCCCGAAGGGGGAGGAGCGGAGCGACGAAUAAUCCUUCCCCCACCACCA